rnacentral:rRNA from 1 species
GAUGAACGCUGGCGGCGUGCCUAAUACAUGCAAGUCGAGCGAGAAGCUUGGAAAUGACGCUUCGGUUGAUUUUCCAAGCGGACAGCGGCGGACGGGUGAGUAACGCGUAGGCAACCUGCCCCUGACAGAGGGAUAGCCAUUGGAAACGAUGAUUAAAACCUCAUGACACCGUAGUAGCACAUGCUACAUCGGUCAAAGAUUUAUCGGUCAGGGAUGGGCCUGCGUCUGAUUAACUGGUUGGUGAGGUAACGGCUCACCAAGGUGACGAUCAGUAGCCGACCUGAGAGGGUGAUCGGCCACAUUGGAACUGAGACACGGUCCAAACUUCUACGGAAGGCAGCAGUAGGGAAUCUUGCACAAUGGGCGAAAGCCUGAUGCAGCAACGCCGCGUGAAGGAUGAAGGCCUUCGGGUUGUAAACUUCUGUUCUAAGGGAAAGAAAAGAAAAGACGGUA